GAGACAAGCAUAUGACUACUGGCAGGAUCAACCAGGUAGCAUUCCUUCGCGACGCCGACACCCGCAUGAGACCCGGCAGGCCGUACGGCAGCGGGCUCAAGACGGGCACGGCAGUCGUUCGUGUCGUAAGACAAAUGCGUUGCUUGGGCAAACGGAGCUAAUAAAUAGACCCCGCACCCGCACAUAACAUUCUGCAUCCGAGAGGACGGGCAAUGCACCUCAUGGGCCGAGGCAGCGACGCAGCUGGGCGAAGCAUGCCGGGAACACGAGGCUUGCCUGAUGUCCACCCCAAAACCCGUGAGGGCAGGGGGUGGAAAGGGACUAACGAAACCAUCGGAUUCCUUUCGAUAGGUAAGCAACACAGGAUACCGAA
rnacentral:misc_RNA from 1 species